UACGAAGGGUGCAAGCGUUACUCGGAAUUACUGGGCGUAAAGGGUGCGUAGGUGGUUGUUUAAGUCUGUUGUGAAAGCCCCGGGCUCAACCUGGGAAUGGCAAUGGAUACUGGACAGCUAGAGUGCGGUAGAGGGUAGUGGAAUUCCCGGUGUAGCAGUGAAUGCGUAGAGAUCGGGAGGAACACCAGUGGCGAAGGCGGCUACCUGGACCAGCACUGACACUGAAGCACGAAAGCGUGGGGAGCAAACAGG
rnacentral:rRNA from 1 species